CUCCCACUCUUGUCGUAAUGAGAGGCUUACCUGUCAAUGCUCAAGUUCAAGACAUAUUGAACUUCUUUCAAGGUUUUCCAGAGGUAUGUUUAGGUCCAUUAUUCAAAAUGAAACACAAUAAAAAAAAAAACCUGUUUCAGAAUCUCAAUACUUCAUUUUUUUUAAACAAAUGUUCAUAAUGAUAACUUUAAAGUAAAAGAUUGUGAAAUAUUUUUUGGACGAUGCUAAAGGAAAACCUAGUCUUUUGAACAGGAACAUAUUGCGUGGAUAUUAAGUAUAGGCAGGAGCCCUGUAUGUUUGAAAGAGUGUGAAAUCAGAUAUAGCUUUGAUAUUGCUUCUAGAGUGUAUCUAUAGUUACCUAUAAUCCUUUGCUAACGGAUUAUUGUACUCUCUGACUAUUAAAACACUAUUAACCAAUCUUCCCAAAGACAGUGGAAGAAACAGUUUGAUGCUGCUUGUACACAUGCUUAGGCUCAUCGCAAUGAAGACAUUUAUAUAGAGAAAAAAAUCCUUAUCAGAUUUUUAAAGGAUUUUUUUUUAUUUUAUUGCGUUGGGCCUAACUAUAGAUGCUACCAAUGCACAGCUCUUCAGAUAUUGUGAACAGAAACCAGUGUACUUGAAUUGUAUAAAUGUUUCACGUACAAGGUGGAAGUUGUUUUACUAAUAAUAAUUCAUAUCUCUUACUCCUUUCUUUUGACUCUAAUAACAAACCAAAAAUCCACCGGUUUUGUCACAUUUCAUUACCUCUCACAGUUUCUAUUAUAGUUUUCUACUAUUGCACAGAAUAUUAGUAUUCCUUUUCAUAAAGUAAAUUAUUCAUUGAAAUGACUGAAUUAAAUUCUUAAUCUCUAUAAAUUAAUCUGCAUUUUGAU
rnacentral:misc_RNA from 1 species